rnacentral:rRNA from 1 species
GACGAAGGGUGCAAACGUUGCUCGGAAUUAUUGGGCGUAAAGCGCACGUAGGCGGCAUUGCAAGUCCCAUGUGAAAGCCCACGGCUUAACCGUGGAAGUGCAUGGGAAACUGCAGUGCUUGAGUACUUAAGAGGAUCGCGGAAUUCCCGGUGUAGAGGUGAAAUUCGUAGAUAUCGGGAGGAACACCAGUGGCGAAGGCGGCUCACUGGACCGGUACUGACGCUGAUGCGCGAAAGCGUGGGGAGCAAACGGG